rnacentral:rRNA from 1 species
AACGAACGCUGGCGGCAGGCUUAACACAUGCAAGUCGAACGGGUGUAGCAAUACAUCAGUGGCAGACGGGUGAGUAACACGUGGGAACCUUCCUAGGGGUACGGAACAACUCAGGGAAACUUGAGCUAAUACCGUAUACGUCCGUGAGGAGAAAGAUUUAUCGCCCUUAGACGGGCCCGCGUCGGAUUAGCUAGUUGGUGAGGUAACGGCCUACCAAGGCGACGAUCCGUAGCUGAUCUGAGAGGAUGAUCAGCCACACUGGGACUGAGACACGGCCCAGACUCCUACGAGAGGCAGCAGUGGGGAAUCUUGGACAAUAGGCGAAAGCCUGAUCCAGCCAUGCCGCGUAAGUGAAGAGGGCCUUCGGGAUGUAAAGCUCUUUUGCCAGGGACGAUAAUGACGGUACCUGGAGAAUAAGCCCCGGCAAACUUCGUGCCAGCCGCCGCCGUAA